rnacentral:rRNA from 1 species
GAUGAACGCUAGCUACAGGCUUAACACAUGCAAGUCGCGGGGCAGCAUGGGGGUUGCUUGCAAUCCCCGAUGGCGACCGGCGCACGGGUGAGUAACGCGUAUCCAACCUGCCCUUCACCACGGGAUAACCCGGCGAAAGUCGGACUAAUACCGUAUGUUGUCCAUUGACGGCAUCCGAUUUGGACGAAAGGUGUGGCGGUGAAGGAUGGGGAUGCGUCCGAUUAGCUGGACGGCGGGGUGACGGCCCACCGUGGCGACGAUCGGUAGGGGUUCUGAGAGGAAGGUCCCCCACACUGGAACUGAGACACGGUCCAGACUCCUACGGGAGGCAGCAGUGAGGAAUAUUGGUCAAUGGGCGUAAGCCUGAACCAGCCAAGUAGCGUGCAGGAGGACGGCCCUAUGGGCUGUAAACUGCUUUUAUGCGGGGAUAAAGUGGCCCACGUGUGGGUUUUUGCAGGUACCGCAUGAAUAAGGACCGGCUAAUUCCGUG